rnacentral:rRNA from 1 species
AUGCAUGUGCCUGCAACGGUGGCUUCACUGUACAGAAUGCAAAUGGAGGCCGUCUACCUCGGCUUAGCUCUGGUAUCCUUGUGUAUCGUGCUUCUUUCCAGGCGCGCGCGCAGGUGGUCGGCAUCGAACGAGGCGCCGGGGCCGUGGCGGCUGCCGGUGAUCGGCAGCCUGCACCACCUCAUCGGGCAGCUCCCCCACCGCGCGAUGCGCGACCUAGCGCGGCGCCACGGGCCGGUGAUGCUCCUCCGGCUCGGGGAGGUGCCCACGCUGGUAGUGUCGUCCCCGGAGGCCGCCCGCGAGGUGAUGAAGACCCACGACAUGCUGUUCGCGACGCGGCCCCUCAACUCCACCAUGAGCGUGCUCACCAACGGCGGCCGGGACAUCGUGUUCGCGCCCUACGGCGACCACUGGCGGCAGCUCCGGAAGAUCGCCGUCCUGGAGCUCUUGUCGCCGGGGCGGGUCCUGUCCUUCCGCGCCAUCCGCGAGGAGGAAGUCGCCGCCAUGCUCCACGAUGUCGCCGACGCCGCGGCGGCCGCGCGCCCCGUGGAGCUGCACGCGUGCCUCUCCGUGGUGGUCUCCAACAUCACGGUCCGCGCCGUCAUGGGUGACUACAGGUUCAAGCAGCGCGAGGAGUUCAUCCGCGCGCUCCACCACUCCCAGAAGCUCGCCGCGGGGUUCAACCCGGCGGACCUGUGGCCGUCGUCCCGGCUUGCCGGCUGGCUCAGCGGGGGCUUGCGCCGCGCCAAGGAGAUCCGCGCUACCGGGAAUGGCAUCCUCGACACCAUCAUCCGAGAGCGGCUCGAGAGGACGACUGAAGGUGGCGGAGGCGAGAACAAGGACCAUCACCUGGUGGAUGUGCUGCUAAGCAUGCACAAGGAGGGCAGGCUCGACAUGGACGCCGUGAAAAACAUCAUCUUCGACAUAUUCAGCGCCGGCAGCGAGACGACAGUCAUAGAGUGGGCGAUGGCAGAGCUGAUGAGGAACCCAGAGGCGAUGCGGAAGGCCACGGCUGAGGUGCGGCGAGCUUUGGAGGCCCGCGGCAGCGUAGAGGAGCACGCCCUUGGCGAGCUCCCGUACCUGCACCUGGUCAUCCGGGAGGCGCUGCGGCUGCACGCGCCCACGCCGCUGCUCAUCCCGCGGGAGUGCCGGGAGCCAUGCCAGGUGCUCGGCUACGACGUGCCGCGAGGAACGCAGGUGUUCGUCAACGCAUGGGCGAUAGCCCGCGACGAGCGGUACUGGCCCGACGCGCCGGAGGAGUUCCGGCCGGAGCGGUUCGAGGGCGAGGGCGCCGUGGACUUCAGGGGCAACGACUUCUCCUUCCUGCCAUUCGGCUCCGGCCGGAGGAUGUGCCCGGGGAUGGCGUUCGGCCUCGCCAUCAUCGAGCUCACGCUCGCGAGCCUGCUGUUUCACUUCGACUGGGAGGUCUUGCCGGGUGCGGCGGGCGAGCUCGACAUGGCCGAGGUGUUUGGCCUCGCGGCGCGCCGGAAGGCCGACCUCCCGCUGCGCCCUGUCCUGAGGGUGCCCGUUCCUGGACUCUAG